rnacentral:lncRNA from 1 species
UUUCCUAACUCAGAGAUAAAGGCGGAGUGUCUACGUAAUGUCUCCUCAACAAAGCGCCCUAAAUCCUCACUGGGAACCAUCUGGAAUCACCCCGCAAAGCUUCGGGGAGUUCCUCCGGAGUCUGGGGAUUUAACAGAACUACUGCAAGCGAGCGCCUGCGGGCCCCUGCUCUCUCAGGCGCACGCCCUGCACCGCACUGCUGCCCACGUCAGGACUACGAGUGCGAGCGCCUGCGGGCUACUGCUCUCUCAGGUGCACGCCCUGCACCGCACAGCUGCCCACGUAAGGACUACGAGUGCGAGCGCCUGCGGGCCCCUGCUCUCUCAGGUGCACGCCCUGCACCGUACAGCUCCCUACGUCAGGAACACGCGCGCCAGGGCCUACAAAUGGGGCGGCUGCUCUAUCUCCCGCCUCGGGGCGUGCCUACACCGCCCCGCGCGUCAAACUGCACCGGGCUUCGCGGCCCCGUGCGUGAUUAGCCCCGUCUUCCAGGGCUCCCUAGGUUUUCUGUGUCGCUGGCUCCCCGCUGCGGCACCCAGUCCCUUGCAUCCCUCCCGCCACGCACACCAGAGGAAGGCGGAAUCUAGUGAGUCCCGUCACGUGGGCGCUGGGUGAGCAGAAGCGGUCUGCGCAGAGGACAUCUGCGCAGUGUAGUGAGUGCCCGCGCUUCGCCGGCCUUGGCGCCCGCAGCCUGAGUGGAAAAUUUUCAGGAGGCGUACUGAGGCUGCGCGGUGCUGGCCACUCCCCUUCCCUCGGGGGGCCUCCUUCCCCCACCCCCACCCCGGGGAACAGCC